CAGUAGCCGCGGGAAUACGAAGGGGGCUAGCGUUGCUCGGAAUGACUGGGCGUAAAGGGCGCGUAGGCGGUUUGAUCAGUCAGGCGUGAAAUUCCUGGGCUUAACCUGGGGGCUGCGCUUGAUACGGUCGAGCUAGAGGAUGGAAGAGGCUCGUGGAAUUCCCAGUGUAGAGGUGAAAUUCGUAGAUAUUGGGAAGAACACCGGUGGCGAAGGCGGCGAGCUGGUCCAUUACUGACGCUGAGGCGCGAAAGCGUGGGGAGCAAACAGGAUUAGAACCCCUGUAGUCCCUGUCUCUUAUACC
rnacentral:rRNA from 1 species